GAAUAUGAGAGUGACAUCUGUCACCCCAUUUAUUGCCAGUGUUAAUUCCGCUGAUCUGCAUAGCUAGGCAGUUGUCCCCUUCUUCCUUCAUGGCUACACAAUCAAGUGUCCUUCCUGAAGUUGCUUGUUGAGUAAAAGAGGAUGAACUUUCCCAAUAGAGGAGGAACAGUCUUUCAUCAAGGGUAGACAGCCCUGCCAUGCUAGAGCCACCAAAUUCUCAUGUUGUUACGGGAAAGGCAGGCAUCAUCGUCUCUUGCUGAUCUACUCGGUUCCCAUAAAGUUAGUUUAU
rnacentral:snRNA from 1 species